rnacentral:rRNA from 1 species
CUAGCCAUGCCGCGUGUGUGAUGAAGGCCUUAGGGUCGUAAAGCACUUUCGCCAGAGAUGAUAAUGACAGUAUCUGGUAAAGAAACCCCGGCUAACUCCGUGCCAGCAGCCGCGGUAAUACGGAGGGGGUUAGCGUUGUUCGGAAUUACUGGGCGUAAAGCGCACGUAGGCGGAUUAUUAAGUUAGAGGUGAAAUCCCAGGGCUCAACCCUGGAACUGCCUUUAAUACUGCUAGUCUUGAGUUCGAGAGAGGUAAGUGGAAUUCCGAGUGUAGAGGUGAAAUUCGUAGAUAUUCGGAGGAACACCAGUGGCGAAGGCGGCUUAC